CCUACGGGACGCAGCAGUGAGGAAUAUUGGUCAAUGGCCGCGAGCCUGAACCAGCCAAGCCGCGUGAAGGACGAAGGUUCCAUGGAUUGUAAACUUCUUUUAUCAGGGGAUAAAGUGUGGCACGUGAGCCUUACUGUAUGUACUUUAUGAUUAAGCAUCGGCUAAGUCCGUGCCAGCAGCCGCGGUAAUACGGAGGAUCCGGGCGUUAUCCGGAUUUAUUGGGUUUAAAGGGUGCGUAGGCGGGCUUUUAAGUCAGGGGUAAAAGCCUGAGGGCCAACCCGGGACUUGCCGUUGAACCUGGGGGGCUUGAGAUGGCAUGAGGCAGGCGGAAUGGGCGGUGUAGCGGUGAAAUGCUUAGAUAUCACGCAGAACUCCGAUUGCGAAGGCAGCGUACC
rnacentral:rRNA from 1 species